UACGUAGGGGGCUAGCGUUGUCCGGAAUCAUUGGGCGUAAAGAGCGUGUAGGCGGCCCGGUAAGUCCGCUGUAAAAGUCAAAGGCUCAACCUUUGAAUGUCAGUGGAUACUGUCGGGCUAGAGUCCGGAAGAGGCGAGUGGAACUCCUGGUGUAGCGGUGGAAUGCGCAGAUAUCAGGAAGAACACCAACGGCGAAGGCGGGUCUCUGGGGCAUUAACUGACGCUGAGGAGCGAAAGCAUGGGGAGCGAACAGG
rnacentral:rRNA from 1 species